GCCGGGGCGGAGGGGCACGGAGCGGCUGGAGGCGCUGCGGGAGCGCCAGCGAGAGCUCCGGGAGCAGCAGGAGGAGCUGGAGCUGCUGAUGAACGGGAUCUUCAAGGGCGUCUUCGUGCACCGCUACCGGGACGUGGUGCCCGAGAUCCGCGGGAUCUGCAUGGAGGAGCUCGGGCUGUGGGUGCGGAGAUUCCCGGGAUCCUUCCUGAGCGACAGCCACCUCAAGUACCUGGGCUGGACCCUGCAC